GCUGCAUGACUGUAUCAAAUACAGGAUCCUUUCUCCCCCCAAAGCCCUGCAGCCUGCUGAAGGAAGAGGGGUUUUGUGCAGUUAAUGGAGUCAUUUUUGCUGUACUUCAGAGGGUAACUAAUACUGCAGCAUCGUGGCGCAGCUCCCACAACAGGAAUCUGAAGAGCUAAGGUGACUAUAAGCAUUUCUGAAGGGAUCUUGGGAAAAGAGCAGGAGUGCCAGAGGAGAUGAUGCAAGUGUGAUUCAUUUCUCCUUCAGAAAAAAGAUUUUCAGAUGCUCUAGCAAUUUUAAAAGAGAAUUAAAACUUCUGCAAUAUGCUCAUUAGACCACAAUUAGUGAAAGAUGAAGAACUUGAGAUGUAGAGACAAUGGAUUCAGCCCCAUGCUCAGCCAUUUAUUUUUGGCUAAUUAAAAGUGACAGCUUUGGGUCUUGGAAUCCAAAACAGAGACUACAAAGCAUGAGCAGCAGGAGCAAAGAGCUGCUUGGAGGGAGCAGAGCCUGAGGAGCAUCCCCUGCACCCAGCAAUUGAACUCUCACCUGCGUGAAUGGAGCCCAGGCAACUCCCAGGCCGGCAGCACAUGGGGCUGGUGCCUGUGAGUGCCCAGGGCCUGCAGAAAUUUUGCAUUAAUGAUUUGUACCUUGAUAAAUAAUUACAGCAGACCAUUGCGGCUUGAAGAUAUUCCAGAAAAUGGGUGUUCACAAAGGCACCGUGGAAGAAGUCCUUUCCUGGUUUGAAGUGGUGGAAUUGUCAAGGAAUGUCCUUUUCCUUUGCCUCCCUGACUGUCAGAGACCAGGUUUGCAGGGGACCUGGGUUGUUCUCCCACACUGGCCAUCCCACUGGCAGAGGGAAUAUCCUCCAGGAGCGAGCAGGCUCACUCUGUGUCUCAGAGGCUGCUCAGGUUUGCUUUCAGCGUUCCAGCAAUAUUCCAGCCUUCCUUUACCUGCUUAGUAUCAUGAAAUACUGGAGAUAGGGACGACAGGUGAGAGGUCCUUUUAAUGUCCUUCAAGGACCAAUGGGAGGAUUUGGCUGCUUCCUUGUUGUAAAUAAUGCAGAAAAUGAGCAGUUUUUAAAGACUGUCCAGUGGGAUUAGGAAGACUUGUUUUAAUUAUGUGAAAACAGCAUGGGUGCUUAGGCAGAUGUUUGAGCUAAUUGUUUUGAAAGCAGACCCUCUUGGCUAUGAGAGAAUCAUUUGUUUUGACUGAUUUUUUGCAAUUCCCUCCAUACUGCAGGUGAGGUCAUUUUGAUUUCGAUGGGUUUGCUCUCCCUGCCUUCCACCCGCCCUGGCUGUGAUCUGCAGCACCCAUGUUCAUGAUUCUGGGGACCAGGCAUCUCCCUUACC